CACGGCACUCACCAGGCAUUGCGAAGGCUGGAGGCUACUAGUCGUAAGUCGAGCUCGAAUAUUUUAAUUUCUAAGAUCACUGGUCCAUUGACCACUAGAACAGGAAUCUCAGAAUAGAGGAACGACAAUCGGCAAACACAUCAUUGGCGGCGCGGUCUCAGCUUCAGAACGAAAUGCCGAAUGAGAAUGGAAUUAGGAAAGGAGGAAAUGGGUUUGCAUCAAGCUUUCAGCUUCUGAGAAUGAGAAAUUGGGGAUUGAUUUCACGAUUUGGACAUUUGGAGUUUGGACCAUUGUUGAUUUGGGGGAAGGUGAAUUGGUUGGGCCUAAUGAGUCGACGACAAUGUCAAUUCAUGCAUCAGCCAAACAAAAUAAAUAAAUAAAAUGGGUUGUCUUCUUCUUUCCAUCUUCAUUCAGAUUCUUCCUGCUUCCAUCUCGCACGAC
rnacentral:lncRNA from 1 species